GGACGGUUAGCUCAGCUGGGAGAGCGCCCGCUUGACGUGCGGAAGGUCAUGAGUUCGAGUCUCUUACCGUCCA
rnacentral:tRNA from 1 species